rnacentral:misc_RNA from 1 species
GAUGAAGAACGCAGUGAAAUGCGAUAAGUAAUGCGAAUUGCAGAAUUUCCGUGAGUCAUCGAAUCUUUGAACGCACAUUGCGCCCACUGGUAUUCCGGUGGGCAUGCCUGUUCGAGCGUCAUUAUCCUCCCUCAAACCUCGGGUUUGGUGUUGGACCCAAGUUGUGUGAACAACUGGUCUUAAAGACAAUGACGGCGUCCGUGGGACCCUCGGUGCAACGAGCUUUUAGGAGCACGCGCCGAGUUUCAAGGACCUUCCGGGCCGGUCUCCUUUACCAUUUUACAAGGUUGACCUCGGAUCAGGUAGGAAUACCCGCUGAACUUAAGCAUAUCAAUAAGCGGAGGA